AGCACUUCUAAGGUUCGAGUUUGGUAAAAAAAAAAAUGGGCACAAGUGUAUACUGAGAAUGGGCAGCAGCUGAAAUAGCCUGCCCUUUGGAGGGUCCCCGCUCACAUCUUAAGCUGGUUUUAGCUCAUCUUGUGCCAUUACAGAGAGAACAUCUCUGAAACUUUGCUUAAAAAUCCAUAUGGGCAGUCCAGAUCCGAAAUGCCAGCAAG